rnacentral:misc_RNA from 1 species
GAUGAAGAACGUAGCGAAAUGCGAUACUUGGUGUGAAUUACAGAAUCCCGUGAACCAUCGAGUCUUUGAACGCAAGUUGCGCCCGAAGCCAUUAGGCCGAGGGCACGCCUGCCUGGGCGUCACACGUCGUUGCCCCCCCAUCUACUCCUUCGGGAUUGCGGGGGGCGGAUGAUGGCCUCCCGUGCGCCUCGUCGCGCGGUUGGCAUAAAUGCCAAGUCCUCGGCGGCGCACGCCACGACAAUCGGUGGUUGCGAAACCUCGGUUGCCCGUCGUGUGCGGUCGUCGCGCAUCGAGGGCUCGAAAAAAUUGCCGGGCUCCGGCUCGGCUUUCAACGCGACCCCAGGUCAGGCGGGGUUACCCGCUGAAUUUAAGCAUAUCAAUAAGCGGAGGA